UCGAGAGGCUUCGUCAAUGGGGGAAACCCUGAACGAGCGACGCCGCGUGGGCGAUGAAGGCCUUCGGGUUGUAAAGCCCUGUCGUGCGGGAAGAACGAUUCAAUGGCAAACAGUCAUGGGAUCUCGACGGUACCGCAAAAGGAAGCUCCGGCUAACUCCGUGCCAGCAGCCGCGGUAAUACGGGGGGAGCGAACGUUGUUCGGAAUUACUGGGCGUAAAGGGCGCGUAGGCGGCUUCAUAAGUGAGAUGUGAAAGCUCCUGGCUCAACCAGGGAAAUGCGUCUCAUACUGUGAGGCUUGAGUGCAGGAGAGGAUGGGGGAAUUCCCGGUGUAGCGGUGAAAUGCAUUGAUAUCGGGAGGAACACCAGUGGCGAAGGCGCCCAUCUGGCCUGCUACUGACGCUGAGGCGCGAAAGCUGGGGGAGCAAACAGG
rnacentral:rRNA from 1 species